UUCUUUGAUUACUGGAGCAUCAUAAAAGUUUUUCAUCCAUGCUGACAAGUGAGGAAAUUUGCCUGCAUCAAACAACUUCAGGUCGAUUGCCUCCUCGAACACAUCAAGAAGAUACGCCAACCAACCAAGUACAAGGUCCAGAAGCUGCAGAUGAAAGACAAGUAUCAAUGAAAAUUCAGCUCAUUCUUGAAAAAGAUCAAUGGUUUCUUACCUUCUCGUCCCCGAAUUUUGCCCAAAAACGUGCCAUGGCUUUCUCGUAAGGAUCUUGAGGUAGCAAAGGAGCUUCCUUCCAUGUCUCGUCUAUAUACUCAAGAAUUACCAGCGAUUCACAGAUUGGUUUGCCUUUGUGCACAAGCACAGGAACCUUUUUGUGAAUAGGAUUAUACUGGAGGAGUUCAGGGCUCUUCUGGCUUAAAUCUUCAAAAAUGGCAUCAUAUUCAAUCCCUUUGAUAUGUAGCGCCCAAACAAUCCUCAAACCAAAUCGGCUUGACCAUGUAGUGUGAAGCUUGAGUUCUUCUGCCAUGUUGUUUUGCAAGUGAUAUCUCAAUAUUAAAACAAGCUCUGAUGUCAGCCAUUGCGUUUCAAAGCGUGGAAAUUUCUCAAUUAGAAGACAAAUAUGAACCACUCUGCUUUGUUUGAAUCUUCGGAGGGGAUCAUGAAUUUCUUACAUUUAUAUGAUUUGGACUUUGCUUAUCACAACAUUAUGAGUGGAGGUGACAACCCAAAAAAAUUGUUUCACUUCUUUUGUAUUGACUUUUCUUCAGACGUCUGGUAGUCCAUGUUGAUAGGAGCUUUAUUCCCCAAAAAUACUCAAGCAUAUUACUAAUGUUUUUCAAGUCGGUUCCACAUUUCUUUAGUUUCAACACUUAGCACCUCUAAUUAUUCUCUAUCAGUUUCUCAGAAUUUAUCUUGUACCCAAAGAGCAGAAGGUUAACAUCUUUGGAUUUCAUUUUUAUAAAAUUUCUUUCAGUUAUCAAAAGUUUAGAAACUGAAAAGGAUGUAAUUAUGAAUGGAAAAAAUGUGAAUAACUCAAGAAAAAGUAAGUAAUUUUUAAGAGAAAUGAGAUCAAUUGCCCUCUUACCAUUUGAAUAAAAGAAAAUGGUCUUUAAGAUCUUGUGGGAGUCUUCUUGUGUGUUAUAAUCUUUACGGGAAUGAAUCGUACAUGUUGGUUGAGAAUCGCUCGGGAAUUCAUUGAUAAUGACUUUGCCAUGUUCUAGGGAGGCUACUCUUCUUUUUUGUUGAUCGAGGCGCUUUCCCUCAUUCCACUCGUCCAGCCCUCUUCACGAACUUGUACAAUUGAUGCCACAAAGAUAGCAAACUCUAUUAUCAAAGAAAUAAGGAAAGAGGCGACAAUUUGGCACCAAAUAUCUGGAGGUGUGGAAAGAGCAACUGUGAUAAGCGGAAAAAAUCAUUAAAAAAAAAAAAAGACAAUUGUUUGUGGAGAUUUCUAUAGAAAGAUCCCUUGGUUCUGGCAAACGGAUCACACUUGUGAAAAGGCCAUAAAAUCAAAAACAUUUUGUGAAUGGCCUACAAAUCCAAUUUAGGCUGCU